GUGAAAGUAGUUAAAAGUAAGAGAAUACAGAAGUAGGCUUUCAGUGGAAACAGCGGCUUGGCAGCUGAAAAGGAAGUGGUCUGUUAGACCCUAACAUCAUAAUAACAUCAAAAUAGAUACAAGAUGAGGUCUCACUGGAUUAUAUCGAUUCUUACUGAACUGAUCACAUCUGGGUUCUGGAUGCUGCUUGUUCCUGCUGCUGAGGUCCAACACGUCCAGCUGGGUUCAACAGCCAGCGUGGGCUGUAACCUCUCCUAUCUUUAUGACACAACGUGGCUUAAGCAUCACCCAGAUAAACCUCCCACCAUCAUCUUCUCUGCCAGCCUCAAAGAGGGACGACCCAUCCAAGGGUUUCAGCUCAACAGUCGUUAUACAGUGACUUUGGUGAACCGCUCUCUGGCACUGAUGAUCUCCGGUAUCGAGGACAGAGACCUGGGGCUGUACUACUGUGUUUCCUACGUAAACUCAGACUUAAAAAUUGGGGAAGGAACCAAGCUUCAGGUUUCAGGUUUAUCUCGGUUUCUUUUUAAUCACUGGUACUGCGUGAUCUCGGGUUUCAUCCUCAUGAUUAUGGUACUGGCUGUUUGUGUCACCCACUGGAAAGCUCGAGUGAAGGAGAAGAAGAAGAAGACCGCCAUCCAGACCAGAUGCUGACAUCACCCGUAAAUAUAUGACAAAUAGUAGCAAUACCUCAACUCUGACACCAACUACACUUUCACAGCUGACAGUUUAUGCCCACUAUUAUAUGGAUUCAAUGUAUUAAUGUUGCAUUUGUAUAUAUACAACCUGUGUGUGUAUGUCUGUGUUUUUAUUUUGUGUGUAAAGUGUAGAUUCUUUUGUUUUUCUUCCACUUCUUAUUUAUGGCAAUCUUAUGUUGGGUUGCUAAAUGCACUGUAUUUUUUCCUUCAAGUAGUUAAAAUGAUUUGUUGCUAUUUUGCUUAUAAAUACAAAAACAUGUGUAGA